rnacentral:rRNA from 1 species
CAGUAGCCGCGGUAAUACGGAGGGAGCUAGCGCUGUUCGGAAUUACUGGGCGUAAAGCGCGCGUAGGCGGUUACUCAAGUCAGAGGUGAAAGCCCGGGGCUCAACCCCGGAACUGCCUUUGAAACUAGGUGACUAGAAUCUUGGAGAGGUCAGUGGAAUUCCGAGUGUAGAGGUGAAAUUCGUAGAUAUUCGGAAGAACACCAGUGGCGAAGGCGACUGACUGGACAAGUAUUGACGCUGAGGUGCGAAAGCGUGGGGAGCAAACAGGAUUAGAUACCCCGGUAGUCCCUGUCUCUUAUAC